GCAAUAUUUCAGCUACAUAUUGAAAGUGUUAUUUGGCUUCUCAUGCUGUAUUAAUACUUAUGCAUAUCUCAUCAAAAAGUGUUGUUAUGGGAUUAGUAUGCAAUCACCAAUUAAAGAUUUGCUGAAGUCUGCAUUAGAACUGGAUAUAUGCUAUAAUGCUGGAGUCUAUUAUACUCAUACCGCCCAAGUAUGUGAAUCAUUGACCGGAUUAAAUGUUGCCAUAGGGGGUAAUUAAUCCAGUUUGCUGGCUAAAACCUUAGUUCUUUGAAUUUUGAAGCUUGC